rnacentral:misc_RNA from 1 species
GAUGAAGAACGUAGCGAAAUGCGAUAAGUAAUGUGAAUUGCAGAAUUCAGUGAAUCAUCGAAUCUUUGAACGCACCUUGCACCCUUUGGCAUUCCGAAGGGUAUGCUCGUAUGAGUGUCAUUGUACUCUCACACUCUCCGAUCCUAUGGAUUCGGGGAGCGGUGGACUUGGGUGUUGCUGCCUUUCCCUGUGGCUCACCUCAAAUGCGUCAGUGCACCUCUUGGUUGGACAUAGUACGGCGUGAUAAGUGUCUUCGCCGGCACCUCGCAAGAGGGUGGCCGAUCGGGAGCUCUGCGCUUUCAAACCGUCUUCGGACAAUUUCUGACAUCUUGACCUCAAAUCGAGUAGGACUACCCGCUGAACUUAAGCAUAUCAAUAAGCGGAGGA